UUUCUUUUUCGCUAUAUGGCAACAAGUAUUAUUUUUUUGAAAUGUGCUUUCGUUUUUACGUAAAACGUAGUGUUCUCGGCUUGUUUUGAUGUUAUGUGUGUCAACAAUGCCAGUUUAAUGCUGCAUUUUCACUGAAUAAAUAGUAAUUUCAUUCAUCUGGGGAACUUGUAGUUAUUUUAGUGAUUUGAAAGGUUUAGCGGCUGUGACUGAUGAAGCAGUAAUAGUGAAGAACUUCAAGAAAACUAACUAGGCUAUUUAAUGCAUAUGAUGAUUCUAAAGAUCACUACAUGUGGGCAGGCAGUCACAGUGGUGAUGAAUAUAAUGGCAAUGACUCACAAGCUGUAGCAGAUGACAGACAGCAGUUCCAAAAACAUUAAAUGAUGUGCAGUCUAAAGAGUGAGAAAUGGACGACAACAAACAGCAAGCAAGAUUCAAGAUACAGGGAAAUAGAAAGGAAAAGAUACUGCAAUUUAAUAUCACUGCGUAUUCUUACUGGAAUGCUUCUUUUAAAUAAAUAAUAUUAUGGUAGUUACCAGCAGUUUAUUCAUGAACAGUUUGCAUUUAUUAUGUUCUUAUUGUAACUGCAUCUUUCCAAAAUUUAAUUAUUUGCAUAUUUUUUCUCUCUUGGUUUUCAAAUAAUAAAAUUAGUUAGAAAAGGAGGAAUACACAAAUAAAUGCAGUAUACCUGUACAAGUAAAACUGCUUGGCAUGUCUUAUCCCAUAACGAAAAAGUACUUGUCUUUUCUUUUCACGUUAUAUAGAACAAUAAGACCUUACAGUAACAUUUCAAGCAGUAAAACAUUGAAAACUGGCAGUUCUACACAGAUUUAAACCCAUCAUCCUACAGAAGUCAUUAUCAUGGACAAUCCUGUUCAAGAAACACUUCAGUGUGUAAGCAAAUUUCUAAUUCUACUGUGUAUGCUAAAGCUUGGUAAUGGUUCAAAGAAAAUUGCUCAUACAGUUGACCAGAAAAAAAAAAAAGAGUAGAAUUUAAAUUUUAUGUAGCUUAAUAUUAUUGAUACAUGAAAACAGUCCAUCCAAGAGUUUCUGUAUUUAUUUACAUUAUGACAAUAAAUACCUUAUUAAUUCAGGAAAA
rnacentral:misc_RNA from 1 species